CAGUGCAGGCCAGGCACACGUACCAAGAUGGCAUCACUGGCUCCCCUGCUCUGCCUCGUGGUGCUCUGGGUCCAGGGUUCCUCCGGGCAGAUUGUGCUGACUCAGACCCCAGAGUCCCUGGCGGUGUCUCCAGGAGAUCGAGUGACCAUCAAGUGCAAAGCCAGCUCCAGCCUUACUUAUAGUAGCUCUGGGAGUACCUAUCAGCUGUUAGCCUGGUACCAACAGAAACCUGGACAAGCUCCAAAGCUCCUUAUCUAUAACGCUGUCACCCGGCAGUCGGGAGUGCCAGCCCGGUUCAGCGGCAGUGGCUCUGGCACUGAUUUCACUCUCACCAUCAGCAGUGUUGAAGCUGAAGAUGCUGGAGAUUAUUACUGUCACCAGUACCGCAGCUCACAUCACACAAUUGCUCUGGAUGUCGUCCUCCAUGUUGGCCUUCUGACUGCAGCCAUCCUGCAGAAGCGAAGGUGUCUCGGUGGGCUCCAACAUGCUACUGCCAGCUUCACUCAGGACCGGGGCUUAUACCUGCUCUACGCCCAGCCCUCCUCCAAGCUCAGGUGA